rnacentral:rRNA from 1 species
UGGCGGACGGGUGAGUAACGCGUGGAAAACCUGCCGUAUACUGGGGGAUAACACUUAGAAAUAGGUGCUAGUACCGCAUAAGCGCACAGCUUCGCAUGAAGCGGUGUGAAAAACUCUGGUGGUAUACGAUGGUUCCGCGUCUGAUUAGCUAGUUGGUGGGGUAAUGGCCUACCAAGGCAACGAUCAGUAGCCGGCCUGAGAGGGUGAACGGCCACAUUGGGACUGAGACACGGCCCAAACUCCUACGGAAGGCAGCAG